GACGAACCGUGCGAACGUUGUUCGGAAUCACUGGGCUUAAAGGGCGCGUAGGCGGGCUGUCAAGUCUGGGGUGAAAUGCCGCGGCUCAACCGUGGAACUGCCUCAGAUACUGACGGCCUCGAGGAAGGUAGGGGCAUGCGGAACUGUAGGUGGAGCGGUGAAAUGCGUUGAUAUCUACAGGAACUCCGGUGGCGAAAGCGGCGUGCUGGACCUUUUCUGACGCUGAGGCGCGAAAGCUAGGGGAGCAAACGGGG
rnacentral:rRNA from 1 species